rnacentral:rRNA from 1 species
UACAGAGGUCUCAAGCGUUGUUCGGAAUCACUGGGCGUAAAGGGCGCGUAGGCGGCUUUAUAAGUCGGGGGUGAAAGCCUGUGGCUCAACCACAGAAUUGCCUUCGAUACUGUAGAGCUUGAGACCGGAAGAGGUAAGUGGAACUGCGAGUGUAGAGGUGAAAUUCGUAGAUAUUCGCAAGAACACCAAUGGCGAAGGCGGCUUACUGGUCCGGUUCUGACGCUGAGGCGCGAAAGCGUGGGGAGCAAACAGG